rnacentral:rRNA from 1 species
GACGAACGCUGGCGGCGUGCCUAAUACAUGCAAGUCGAGCGGACCUCUUCGGAGGUCAGCGGCGGACGGGUGAGUAACACGUGGGCAACCUGCCUGUAAGACUGGGAUAACUCCGGGAAACCGGAGCUAAUACCGGAUACUAUGUCAAACCGCAUGGUUUGACAUUCAAAGACGGUUUCGGCUGUCACUUACAGAUGGGCCCGCGGCGCAUUAGCUAGUUGGUGAGGUAACGGCUCACCAAGGCGACGAUGCGUAGCCGACCUGAGAGGGUGAUCGGCCACACUGGGACUGAGACACGGCCCAGACUCCUACGGGAGGCAGCAGUAGGGAAUCUUCCGCAAUGGACGAAAGUCUGACGGAGCAACGCCGCGUGAGUGAUGAAGGUUUUCGGAUCGUAAAACUCUGUUGUCAGGGAAGAACAAGUGCCGGAGUAACUGCCGGCGCCUUGACGGUACCUGACCAGAAAGCCACGGCUAACUACGUGCCAGCCGCCGCGGUAA